GGGAGUGACCUGGCUUCGACAGGAAUGGAGUUGGUUUUGGCUGCAUGUGGUCUUUGAAAGACCUAAAACUAUCUCGUUAAUUAUAAACGCAAACAAUACAAAUUAUACUCCUGCUUUCGCUAAAGCUGCGUAAGUCAAAUUAGGAGGCUCUUGGCUAGUAAUGCUCUUUAGCUAGAUUAUCAAGGGCUCACAACAAAGAGCUGUGUUCUAAGAGUUGACAAUCCUUAGAGCGAGAUUAUGUCUUGGUUUUAACAAAGUUUUUGGAUGGUGUACUUUGCUAAAAUGACGAUGAACACAAUUGACUAAACAUGUAGACGCCGAGAUUAACCUGUUUUUGGACUGGGGUUCGAUUCCCCACACUUCCACCA
rnacentral:tmRNA from 1 species